rnacentral:lncRNA from 1 species
AAUGGUCUAACUAUCAAUUGCAGACGUUUAAUCAAUGAUUCUGCUAGACCGUCUUGAGUGUGAACAUGCACAACUGGAUGUUCAACUGUUAUACCAGUAGACAUACAAUAAUCAUUAAAUGUCUGAGAUGUAAAAUCACCAGCAUUAUCUAGAUGGAUUUUCUUUAUUGUAUAGUCUGAAAAUUGUGCUUUCAAUCUUAUUAUUUGAGCUAGCAAUCUCGCAAAGCCAUGUUGCGAGUUGAUAAUAAACACACAUGUGACCAUCUUGUAGAAGCAUCUAUCAAGACCAUAUAAUAUUUAAAGGGUCCACAUGCAGGUUGAAUUGGUCCACAUAUAUCACCCUGUAUACGUUCCAGAAACGCAGAGGAUUCAAUUCCAACCUUAACUGUUGCAGGUUAAAUUGAGCUUUCUUCUUUUUCUUCGUGCUGAUAACGUGUUGUAAAGAAAGCUCAAAAUAUAAGAAGAAAAAGACAAGAAAUAUGAUAGAGAAGAGAAUUUUUCUUAUUCAAGUGUAUCUUCCAAAUGGUGAGUGAUUCUCUAUUUAUAGUGUUGAGAUAUCACUUCAAAAGUCAUCUAAUUAAUAGAUACAUAGUUAUCUUGGAAGUUCUUAUCACCUUGAAAGCACCUAUACAUAAACCCAUUUAAUAGUGGAUAAAUCUAAUAGAUAAUCCACAUAUACUAUACAAUGAAUUUACAAGAAAUCUCAUAAUAUAAGAUGGAAAUCCAAAAAAUAUUUAAUGACUUUCAUUUUAUUAAUCUUUAAAAUAAUAAAUCCAUUAAUCUCAUUAAUAAAAGACGAAAAUAUAUCUAUUUAGUUAGGUAAUUGGAUUAAUUUCAUUUUAUUAUUAUUAGAAUAAUAUAUUUAUUAAUUUUUUUUUAUAUCUAAUGUGAUGUAUCAAACAAACAAAAUACUUAGAUAAUGUAUGUACAAUUGCACAGAUACAUUUAUUAUCACAUACUAACCUCUUAGAUACAUAAAAAUAUUAAUAGACUUUGAUAAGAUGAACAAAAAUAGAUUAAGAUGUAUCAUAAAUACAUACAAACAUAUCAUACAUACAUGCUAACCGCUUAUUCAGUAUGAACAAGUAAACUAUGAUACAUGGUGCACAAGUACACUAAUAUGGAUUAUAUAUUAAUUUCAUGUAUCUAUUAUGCAUAUCUUGUAUAAAUUUCAUAUAUCUAUUUAUAUGUAUAGUAUUAAUGUAAUCGAGUAUCAAUGUCUAUGUUAUAUCAAAAAAUGUGUAUGUAUCAUUAUAAAAACUUUUCGCUGUUAUAUUUUGUGUUUUGAUGAUCCUUAUAAAUUAAGGGACUUGGUCCCAAGCUAAGUUCUCUCGUCCUGAUCUAUAAUAAGGUACAAUUGUAAAAUUGUCGUGUCAAGGUUGGUGAGGCGUCCAUAUACUACACCAAUCAGAAUGAACGAGGGUGUUUGUCCAACAGAUAAUAACUCUUUAUGGUUGAUAUUUUCAACAUAACGAACACCAUAUUAAAUUCAUUCAUUUAAAGAAGGAAGUCAACCAGCAAACCUCUCAAGAAUUCAUAAAAAAUUUCGCAAGGGACCUGGUCCCUGCAAGACUGCGUAUGUGAAAGCAUGACAAGACAACUGUUAGAAAAAUUACCACCUCUGAUGUGGUAGGUGCAUGUCCUUUCAGAGAGGCAGACUCUCAGCCAAUGGGCGGUCCCAAGUAGUUUGUGUUCAUUUUGAUAUAAUCUCUUAAUGCAUAACACAAACUCAAGAUUUGGCAAACAAUAUUCUUAUGCUUAUUGUUUAUGACCAUAUGAAUGAAUGAUUGUACACUCACGUGGGAGUUAUGCAGGUUGCUUUUCAUCAUCAAAAAGAGGGAAAUCGAUAAAUGUUUAUGCUCUUAGAUGUAUUGAUGAUCUCCUCACAAGUGCGGGGACCUGUCAUCUACAUAGUAUGAAACUUGUCCAGUUGUCAAAGUGUUGUACAGUUGUAAAACCUAUCCGCAUCAGAAAGUUAGUGAAGCAGCAGAGUACUUCACCAAUCAGAAGCGACGUAGUUGUUUGUUUGAUGGGUAAUAAAUCUUCAUAGUAUAUAUAUCAAACAAACAACAACAAUAUUCAUUCAUUCAUUUAAAUAGAGAUAUUAUCUAGCUUCAAGAACAAAAAGGGAACUGAUAGAAGUGCUUUCAUUGCUUUUUGUACUUGUUACAUUCGCUUGCUUGUAAUUGUUCUUAUAUUGUAGGAUUCGUUUCAUUUGUGAAAGAAACAUUUCAAACAUAGGUUAAUCAUUGUAAGGGCUAAGUUAAGGGUAACUUAGGUUCUUACUCUAAGUACAUAUUAAUCAGAUAGGAUUAAUAUAGAGAGCGGUGUUGUAUCUGCUUAGUCUCAGUUAAGCGAUAUGUAGUAUUACUUAGUGGAGAGUUUAGCAGGCUAAUCUCUUGUUGUAAUCGUCUUUUACUUUUUCUUGUUGAAGAUUAGUGAAAGCGGUUUGAAAAGUCCUACUGAGAACAGAUCGUGGUUUUAUUCCCUUGAGCAAGGAGGUUUUCAUGUAAAGUUACUUGUCAAUAUUUACUUUCGGUAUUUGUUCUUUCCCAUUUUGAUAAGUGGACAUAUACAUUCUAUCAAGUGGUAUCAGAGCUUGGACUCUCUAUUUGGUUAGAGAGAGAUUCUUGCAAGGACUGUCAACAACAGUGAGUGUGCAAAGAAAACAGUCUCCACAAGGCCACCUCUUCUUGAUGGUCAGUUCUAUAGAUGGUGAAAUAUUAGAAUGAGAGAUUAUCUCAUGGCCGAGGACACUGAAGUGUGGCACGUAAUAUUUGAAUGUCCUUAUGUGCCAACCAUGGAUGUUAAGGUUGUAGAGAUAACACGAGUCAUCCCCAAAACUAGAAAACAAGAUAAUGACUCUGACAAGCAAGUAACUUGGAAAAAUUACUAAGUCAAGAAGCUGCUUAUGUGUGGCAUUGGAAUGAAAGAAUACGAUCUUAUUUCUUCGUGCGAAUCAACCAAAGAAAUUUGGGAUCUGAUGAGAACUACUUUUGAUGGCAUUGAGGAAACAAUGAAAUCUAAGCUAGAUUUCUUUACUCCCCAACUCGAAAGUUUCAUCAUAGAAUAAGGUGAACCUGUUCAUUAAAUGUAGACAAGAUUCUCCGCCAUCCCCAAUGAGCUCAUGUUUCUUGAUGAACCUGUCCUGGUGUGCAAGCAAGUCUCUAUGAUAUCGAAAAUUCUUUCCAGAUCUGAUGAGACAAAGGGCCCUGAACAAGAGACUCUAAAUACUCUAUUUGAGCUUCUUCAAGAUAAUGAGUUGCAUAGAAAAAAGGAGUGUCUCAUUUUGAAGGGCAAAGACAAGAGGACAGAUCUGAUUGAUUGAUGAGUCUGACCAGAAGAAAGAAAAUCAUGAAAAGGCUACCAGCUCAAGGAAAGAGUGUCACAAGUGUAAUCAACCAGGUUACUCCAUUGGAAAUUGUCUUAUAUACCAGGCCGACCAAAGAGAAUAUGUCAAAACUACAGAAGGUAAAAACAAAGAGGGGAACCAGGUCCUUCUCAAGAUAAACAGAAGAGAAGCUUUCUUUAUGUUGGUAAAGAAGGAUCUGGCUUCAUGGGAAAAUUCCUCAAAUGAUGCUUUCAUGGCAAAGUCAGAUGAAGUAGAUGUUGAUAAAAAGGUAACUCUAUCCUAUUUCAAACAAAACUUGAAUACCUUUUCUACUAAUAAGUUGAGAAAUCUAGCUGUUGUAUUACUUGAUUUGAUAAGCGAGCUGACAAAUUAAAAGGAUCUCGUAAACAAUAGUCUAGACAUCUUUCAAGAUGGAAAAAUUUCUUUAGUUUGCCUAACUAUCUGAUAUUGAAAAUCAAAUAGUUGUUCUAGAAACUAAAAAUCUACAAUUGAAGGAAAAGAUAACAGGGGCGACUACUACAAUUUUUAAAGGAAAUAAUGAGGCCAACAACUUGCAGUUGAAGCUUAAAGUUAAGUUGCGCACUGCUGAAAUGAAGAUGAAAUUGGCUCUGGAGAGAAAUCGUGUGCUAGAAAGGGACCUAUUCCAUGUAAAAGAGGAAUUAAAAAAAUCCCUCAAAUGGACCAUUCCUCUAAGAUUCUUACAAAUCUAAUCGGUCAAGACAACAGUAGAAGAGGGAUGGGCUGUGACAAGAUAAAAUGCUCUUACAAUACUCAAAGAAAAAAUGUUGCCGAUGCUAAUAAUCUGCUGUGUGUGAAUUGUGGUCAAGAUGAACAUCUUAAGAAAGAUUGUCCAAUUUUGAAAAAAUAUGAAGGAAGUUUGUCAAACUAUUCCAAAUAGUAGAAUAGACUGAGGAAGGGACCUAGUCCUACUUAUGGUCCUAUGAUGAAGAAAAGCAGUUUGCCUCACUGGACAAGAAAUUUUCUUGUCACUCCGUUAUCUACUUACUGGGAACUUCGACUAAAGUGGGUUUCCGAAGCUAAAAAGUGAUACGGUAUGGAGGUGAGAUGAAGUAGCAGCAGUCUGUGGUGGUUCAUGAAUAAGCAGAUGCUCCAAGCACGUGACUGGGAAAACGGAAAAACUUUCUCUCUUUCAAGGCACUUCAAGGUGGAGGUGUCUUAUUUGACAAUGAGAAGAAAGGGUAUUUUUGGGGGGAAGACAUGUUUGGAAAAUCUAUGGAACACACUAUUUAGGAUAUGUACUAUGUCAAUGGUUGAAGUAGAUCUUUAAGUGUUUAGGGUGGCAAUUUCAGCUCAUAUUAAUAAAACAUGUCCAUUUUGACCAUAUUUAAUGACUUGGAUCACUUAUAUUUUAAUUGGUUAAAUAUGAGCUUCAAACUAUUUUAAGAGUCUUUACAAAUAUGAUCAAAAUGGAUUAAAUAUGGGUAUUCAUAUUUGACCCAUAAUAGAUCACUUAUUUUCACUUCCACUUUCACUCAAUAUUCUUAAUUGUUCUAAAAAAUAAAAAAUUAAAUAUUAUUUUUUCAGAAAUAAUUUUUUUUUUUUUUUGCAAAAACAAAUCUUUUUGUUUUUGAAAAAAAAAUUAGGGGUAGGUUGAUGGAAGUUGGAGGGGGGAGGGGAGGCGAGGUAGGGGGUAAAUUUUUUAGUUUUUUUUGCAAAAUACAUUUUUUAAUAAAGCAAAAUAAUUUAGGGGUAGGUUGGUGUAAGGUGGGGGAGGGGGUGCGUUGGGGCGGGGGUGAGGGGGUAAAAUUUUUUUUUAAAAAAAUAAUUUUUUUUUCGAAAAGCAAAAAAAUUUAGGGGCAGGUUGGUGGAAAGUGGGAGGGGGGGGGGCACCACGAGGGGUGGGAUGGAGGUAGGGGGUAACUUUUUUUUUUUUGAAAAACAAAAAAAUUUAGGGGUAGGUUGGUGGAAGGUGGGGGGAGGGCGGUCCGGGGGGUGGGUGGGUGGGGUUAGGCGGAGGUACGGGGUAAAAUAUCUUUUUUUGUUUUUGAAAAAUAAAAAAAAAUUAAGGGUGGGUUGGUGGAAGGUGGGGGGGGGGGCCUAGGGGGUGGGGGUGCCUGAGGGAGGAGGUAAUUUCUUUAUUUGAAAAAUAGAUUUUUUAAAAUGGGUUGAAACCAUUUUACCCAAACCAUAUUUGACCAAAUCCAUAUUUGCCCGUAUUCUAUUUGGAUGGAUUGUAAUCCAAACCAUUUUUGCUCAAUCCAUUCAAAUCAAUCCGCUCCAACCAUUUGCCACCUUCUGUGAUGAUUGAAAUAAAGUUAAGUUGUUAUCAGAAAGAACGUGUGGUCACAAACUUGAUCUUGCUUUCUUGGGCGAUGAUCUUGAUAGAAAAGAGAUGAAAGAACAUGCAUAUUGCAGAUCUGAAUAUUGCUCGUAGUGACAAUCACACUUGCCUUGCUCAAGACGAUAAUGCUGAGUUAUAACACAAAAAAGAUGCUUAUGCGGGUGUUGCUCUGCUGCACAAACUUGUCAGAGGGGAUUUGGUCCCCAGACUACACAAAAUGAAAUUUUCAGAUGACAAAGGUUGUGAUAAUGGUGUUAAAGAGAAGCAUAUCUGACCAUCCUUCAGGUAAAAUAUGCAGACUUUUAAUCUUACAAGAACCCUCGGGCUGAAGUGAUGAAUGUAACACUUUUUAUGACAAAAAUGAUGAUAUUGAGUAGUGUAAUCUCAAUGAUUUUGAAAGAGUAUGUGUGGGAUAAUCUUCCUCCAGCAAGGCUUAUCUGGUGUAUAAAAUGUUUGCAUUGAAAAAGAUUUUCAUGAUGAGUCUUGAAGAAUUGAGAAGCAAAUUGCAAAACAAAGAAGAUUCUGAGAUGGAAGAGAUGUUUUAUAUUCAGAGAGAUGAUCUAAACUAUGAGCUUGCUGAAGAACAUCCUCUUCAUAAAUCCCGCAAUCUGAAAGAAGAUGAUGCAGAUGAUGAACAUGAUGAGGGACCCGGUCCUAUAUACAACAUUAAACAAAAAUUAUGUAGUUCAAACUGAUAAUGUGAAUGCAGAAGAUGAGAAUGAAAAAGCUGAUUAAGCUAAGUUUGCAAGAAGCAAUGUAUGAUACUCGGUUCCCCCAAAAGCUGAUAAGUUGUCCAAAUUCUUCUUCAAUAAUGUCUUCAAAAGAGGUAAAAUUGUCAAAACCCUCUUUUUGAAUAUACUAGGAAAGGAAUUGCUGACUGUUCGGGUACAUAUUAAUCAUGUCAUCUUUGGAGCUACCUUUUGAAUUAUUUUGUGAAAAUUUGUUGCAUUUAUGGGUAAUGGGUUCUAAAUAAGCACGAUGGGAAAUUUCCUCUUAUAUCUACAGAUUCAGCUAAACUUUAAAGGUAUACUCGAUUUUCCAAAAAAAUACAUCAAUGAGCUGCUCAAAAGGCUUAAAAUACUUGAAGUCAUGACAAUGUUUAAAAAUUGGUAAUGUCAUUAUAGAGUUUCACAAAAUGAAAGAUCAAGUGGCUGACAUCUUCACACAAGGCCUAAGCAAGGACCAGCUUGUUAGGAACAUGUAUGUACUCACAGUGACUUAGCUGAAGGGAAGAAGAUAGCACAACUUGAUCAGGGCAAUUAAUGUAUGAACAAAGAAAGGGACCUAGUACCAGUUCAAUGAAGGUCCUGAAGGUUUCAUGCUAUGAGUGCCUAGACAUAUCAUACUCUCUUGGGUACUAACUUGAAGCUGGAUGCUGAGGAAUCGGGUUCAAAGACACUACUCAUAUUCGAAGAAACCACUUUUGGAGGCUGCUAAUAGAAUCCGAAGAUAUUUGAAGAAGACAGGGAACCUGGUACAAUUUUGUCCAUCAGGAGACUUUUUGAUUUGGGUACAUGGUGAUGUUGAUUAUGCUGUGUAUCAAGCUGAUGGAAAGAGUACCUCAAGAGUGGAUUAUGCUAUAGGCUGAUCUUUCACUCAUGAGGAGUUAAAAGGCAAGAUUCAGUUGCUCUUUUAUCAGUUGAGGUAGUAAAUGUAGCAAGUCCAGCUUGAUAGACUCAAAUCUUGUGGACGAAGAAGCAGCCUGAAGCUCGUAAAACCUGGAUGAAAUAAUCAAGCUGAUGAUGGAAAUGCUAAAACUUUCUUGAAUGAAUCAUGCCUGACGCAAUAAACUCUCUCAUGACUAUGCAAAGGGAGCGGGUAUCCUUGUUUUUCGUUAUGUAUGUUUUAGCAAGUUCGGUCUUAUACGUUUGUAGGUGUACACACGUGGAAAAGGGACUGAAGAAAAAGGGAGGUCAAGACAGAUCUAGGAAAUCACAUUCAAACAACAGAGAGAGACCUGGUUCUUCUCGAAGGUUACCACUGUUAACAUUGCAGUUUGAAUUAUGCAUGAGAACCUUGAAAUUGUCACAUGUCUUUCAUUCAGGUAUCUGAUCGUUGUCCCAUCUCUUGAAUACCAAAAUGGCACUUUCUUUCACAUAAUAUACCAUUUCACUUUCUUUAUAUUCCAUAUUCCUUCCAUAUCCCUAGAAAAAUCAAUUUACCUUCCAAAUAUAAGAGUUUUUUUAAACCCUCUUUUUUCCUCUCUAGAAAAAUGCUUCAAAUUGUUAAAUCAUUUGUUCUUACUAGAGAAUUUUUUGAUGAAGAUGUUUUUAAGUGUGAAAAGGGACCAGGUCUCCCAAUAAAAUGAAGAAGUGGAAAAGACGAUGUUCAAAAAGGAAAAAAGUUGAUAUUCGAAGAACUCAAUUCUGAAGAGGAGGGUGUUUAUUUUUUUUUUAAAAAAAAACUAAAAAAUAAAUGAAAAAAAGAAAUUUUCUUUUUGAUUCCUCAAUUGUUGAUCUAUUCAUCUGGAGGCCUUGAGUAGUUUGUUUUACCAAUCUUUCUGUUAUGAGAAACUCAAGCCAAAAUCUGAAGUUAUGAUAGUGUUAUUGCUAGCAGAGUUACUGAAAUGGUUUGCGUGCAAGCUCAGCUUCUGAAAUAGAACUAUCUGAGGGACCAGGUUGAAUUAAAAAUAAUGGCAGCUCUGAAGGUUCAACAUAAAGGUUGGGCAACACAACAUGCUGAACGUCAAGAGAGACUUUAGAAAAUACCAUGCUAAGGGAAUUGUUCUACUGAUUCUAUUCUUGAAAUCCCUUGCCACUAAGUCAUCCCUUCUCUCCCUAAAUUUCUUUGUCAAUCCUCAUUCCUCUUUCUCCAUCGAAAAUAUGUGGCAUUGUCAUGGUUUUCAUUCGUAAUCACUUUUGUAAUGCUUUGAUGACUGAUCUUUUAUUUAUGGAUGAAAAAAUGUCUUGUUUCGACUAACUUGUCUCAAUAAUUUAUGCAUUUUUACUCAUACUCAGUGUUACCAAAGUAGCCAUGAAUUUUCGUGAACCGCAUUUAUGUCAACUUCGUUUACAAUUUUAACAUUUUUUAUGAUGUCAAAAGGGGGGAAAUUGUUAUGGUAUGAGAUCAAUGAUGUUAGCUAUUUGAAAAAGACAUGGGGCAUGCUGAUAGGGGGAUCAAUUCUAGAUACUUGAAAAGGACAUGACAAUGCCGAUAGGGGGAAGAAGUUAUUUGUCAUCAUCAAAAAGGUUGAAAAUACUACUUUGAUGUUUUGAUGAUUUGGAAAAAUUUGGGAAUGAUGAAAUUCAGUUACCCAAAGAGUUCUUGUUGAUAGGGGUAACUGGUGAAUAGGUCUAUUAUCAUCAAAAAGGAGGAAAAUGUUGUUCAUAGUUGAUAUGAAGUUUUGAUGAUUCAACAAACUUAGCGAUCUAACAAGGAAUCAGAUCCUUGUUACUGGGACUGGUCAUAGUGAAAUGAAUGAUAAACUUAGUGUGAGGUAUAUUUGUGUGUUAUCAUCAAAAAGGGGGAAAAUGUUAUAUUCUAGGUGUUUUGACGAUCCUCACAAAUGAAGGGAGAUGGUACCAAGAUGAGUUCUCUCGUCUAGAUCUAUAAUGGGGUACAAUUGUAAAGCUGGCGUGUCAGAGGUUGGUAAGGCGUCAACAUACUACACCAAUCAAAAUGGACGAGGGUGUUUGUCCAAUGAAAAAUAACUCUUUAUGGUUAAUAAUUUCAACAUUGACGAACACCAUAUUAAGUUCAUUCAUUCAAAUAAAGAAGUCAGUCAGCAAGCCUCUCAAGAAUUCAUAAAGAAGUUUGCAAGGGACCUGGUCCUUGCAAGACUACGUAUGUGAAAGCACGACAAGACAGCUGUCAGAAAAGCUGUCACCUCUGAUGUGGUAGGUUUACGUCCUUCUAGAGAGACAGACUCUCAGCCAAUGGGUGGUCCUAAGUAGUUUGUGUUCAUUUUGAUAUAAUCUCUCAACACAAAACACAAACUUAAGAUUUGACAAAUAAUAUUCUUAUGCUUAUUGUUUAUGGCCAUAUGAAUUAAUGAUUGUACACUCACGCAAGGAGUAAUGCAGAUUGCUUUCAAUCAUCAAAAAGAGGGAAAUUGAUAUGUAUUUAUGCUCUUAGAUUUUUUGAUGAUAUUGCGGGGACAUGGUGCUAUGCAGAGUAUGAAACUCGUCCAGUUGUCAAAGUGUUGUAAAAGUGUAAAAGCUAUCCGCGUCAGGAAGUUAGUGAUGCAGAAGAAUACUUCACCAAUCAGAAGGGACGAGGUUGUUUGUUUGAUGAGUAAUAACUCUUCAUAGUAUAUAUAUCAAACAAACAACAACAAGUUUUAUUCAUUCAUUCAAAGAGAGGUAUUUUCAAGCUUCAAGAACAAUAAGAGAACUGAUUGAAGUGCUUUCAUUGCUUUUUGUAUUUGAUGCAUUUGCUUGCUUGUAAUUGUUCUUAUAUUGUAGGAUUCGUUUCAUCUAUGAAAGAGAUGCUUCAAACCUGGGUGAAUCAUUGUAAGGGCUAGGUUAAGGGUAACUUAGUUUCUUACUCUAAGUCUAUAUUAACAGGGUAGAAUUUGUAUAAAGAGUAGUGUCGUAUCUGCUCAGGUUCAACUAGGUGAUAUGGAGUAUUACUUAGUGGAGAUAUUUGCAGACUAAUCUCUUGUUGUAAUCCACUUUUACUUUUGCCUGUUAAAGAUUAGUUAAAACGGUUUGAAAAGUAUUGUUGAGAACAUGUCUUGGUUUUCCUCCUUUGAGCAAGAAGGUUUCAACGUAAAGUUACUUGUCAAUAUUUACUUUCGGCAUCUGUUCUUUAAUGUUGUGUUAUUUAUGUAUUGAGGACCUGAUCCCAUCUAUAUAAGUAGAUGCAUACAUUCCAACACUCGGUAAUGUGAGUGUAUAUAUAUCUCAAGAACCAUUGCUGGAUCCAAGCAAUCUCUUGGCCUGACUAAAGACUCAGAGGAAGACUUACUCAACACAAAGAACUUUAAAACUAAAAUUUUGGACCUGAAUAUCUCAAAUGAACAACUCAAAAUAUAAUAGAAUAUUCAAUUAGCCAGAAAUAGACAACUCAAGUCUUUAAAACAUUUUACAAAGAAAUGAAAAGACUCAUAAACUACUACUGUCUAUCUAUCUAUGAAGCCUCUAAUACUAUGAGGGAUGUCGAGACAAGACCCUUGAUGAAGAAAAAUAAGGGAUCCUCCGAAAGCAAGGAGACUCGCCAAACAACUCUAGAAUUCGACUAGAUCAAGGAAGCGUUGGUUGAUGAUUUUGGUUACCUGUAUUUGCAUCAUGAAUGAUGCAAGCCAAAUGGCGUCAGUACAUGGAAUGUACAAGCAUGUAAGGGGAAUACUGAACAUAACAUAAAAGCUUGAACUUGGAAAGAAGAAACAUACUCACCUCGACUUUACUCAACUCAACCUCAACUCAUGGAUACUCAAUUCAAUGCAGUAUAAAAGAACAAUAAAAACCAAUUUAUAUAAGCAUUUAAUACUGUAAAUAACAACUCAAUGUAUUUAAAAAUACAACAACAACUCAGUUUGUAUGUAAAGAUACAAAAUCACUCUGUUUGGGAAAUUCUCUAACGGACAACCAUCACUAUAAGCUAUGUGAUGAUACAACGUCUCGUCUAAGCUGCAAAACUGUCACAUAAGACAUUAAGCAAUCUUUUCUGUCAUCGAUUGACUCCCAAAGUCCAGAGGGAAACAACCCAGAUAAUACACUAGAUCCGCAAGCAAUUACUUAGUGAAGAAGGAAGUGCUCGAGUGAUGAAAAUCAGGAGGUGGUCUUGGAAGCAGCCAUCCUUUGAAAAAAGCGUAAUAGCUCACUAGUCUAGCUCCAAAUGACCCAGGCAUUUUCCUUUGGGAAAGGAGGGUUGUUAAGUAGGCAUAAAACUCUUCCUAUGUUGUAUUUAAUCAUGAAUUAUCAACAAAUCAAUUAGUAGUAUGUCUAUUCCAGAAGACCUUCCACGGAUGAUUUCUAGCUAGUGUGUCGCGAGUAGUUUCUCGAGACCUCUAUAUAUCUCAGCCUCGGAUUAGUAUCAUAUAUCGCUCUAGAGAGCAUUUUGUUGUUGUAGUGCGGAUGUUGGGAGGAGCCGCUCCUCUAUGGUAAGGAUGAUUAAAUAAGAUAGAAUUAAUAAUUUAAAGACAAAACUGAACUGACCGAUAAACAAAACAGAAAAAAAUGUUAUUGGAUUUUCAAUGGGUUUAUUAAAAAAAUUUAUUGGGGUUAUUGGUUCGAUAUCAAUUUUUACUAUUAGAUUAUUGGGUAAAUUGAUAACCCUAUAAGACGGUAAUAAUUUAUUAUGUUAUCCUUCCUAAUCAUUAAAUAUAAAUAAUUUAAUGUACAAUUGGACACUAUAACUAUAUCAAAUUAUCAGUUCUCUACCAACUUCAAACUAGACACUUUACUUGUUUUUACUGUUCAAUAAAAACCUAAAGACUAAAGUUAGGUUUCACAAUUGUAGCUAUUUGUUUUUAGUUUUAAUUUUAGUUUUAGUCUUGUCGAACUAUUUUAUUUUAGUUUUAGUUUGUAAUUGUAGGCUGUAGCAUUUGCAAGUUUGUAAAGGUCCGUAAUUUGAUUAACACAAAAGAUUCCAUACUAUAUUUUGGUGGUAACAUGUAAUUAUAGCCUUCUUACAAUAUUUUCUCUUAUUGAUGCAAUUUUAAUUAUCUUUCUUGUUUCACUAUAUCAAAGCUUUUAGAGAAGUUAGAAGACAUAUAAUAUUUUACGAACAUUUUCUUAUUAGGUAAAUCGAAAACUGAACCGAUAAUGAUCAAAACUGAUAAACCGAAAAUUGAUAAAGAAUAUUUUAUCAAAAAUUGAUAAACUGACCGAUGCACACCCGUGGUGAUUAGUUUAUUAGGAUUAGUUAUUAUUUUAUUUUUUUACAAAAAAAUAAUAAUAAAAAUAUUAACUGACUAUUAUGAACUAAUAAAAAUAUAAAAAAUUUAAAUUGCUAGGGUAAGAAAUAUAAUUAAGACAAUACUAACUUAUUUAUAACACCAAAAAUAAAAGAAAACAGAUAUUUUUUGUAAUGUUUCUUUACUUUCUUAAAAAAAUAUAAAACUUACCUAAAAUGUGAUUUAUAUUUUGUUGUUUUCAAAUAUUUUGAAAUAAACUUGAUAAAAUAAGAUAAAAAUCAAAAAAUUUAAUUCAAAAUUUUAAGAUACAUUCAAGCACUAAAAAUGGUGUGAAAGUUUAAGUUCGGUAAAAGAUUAUGUGUCUACAGCUAUGCCCGGUGGCGUAGCCACCCUUAUGUCAGGUUGUCUAAUUGGACACCCUUAAUCGGAUAACUAUACCGUAUAUACAAGUAAAUAAUAAACAAAGUGGCUAAAUAACAUAUUUUGGCCACCCUUGACACCACAAUAUAAUGUAAUCUAGUGGUUUCAGGUGCCUUGAGAUCUGUUAAGAUCUACACGAACUUAAAGUGUUUGUAUGUUCGAAUCUCAAAAGUAACAAUUUUUCUCCACUUUUUAAUAAAAGCGGGUUCACUUUAACACUUGGAGACCCUUUUUGAAAUUUCUGUCUCCGCCUAUGUCCAUCACUUUUUAAAAAAUGUUUGACCAACAUUUUUACCCAAAAAAGCGACAGACGAAGCGACAUCAUCAGUCGCUUCUUUAAAAUGUUAGACCAAAAACAACGGACAAAUCAAAAUAAAUGACCGAUAUAACGUCAUUGUCUGUCGUUUUUAAUAAAAAAAAUUAAAAAGAUGGACAAUUUCUCAAAUGGCAUCGCUUAUUUGGAGCGUCAACAUUUGUCAUUUUUGGAUCUAUCCUUUUUUGCCAGUUUUUUAAUAGUGUUCUCUUUAAUUGGUGAAUGUAUGUUUUGAUAAGACUUUUGAAUACUUAAUAUUAAUAAUUAUGUCUAAAUAUUUAUUCUAGUAGAAGUGAUAUGGAAUUUAGUUAUUGUUCUACUUCAAAUAUAAAAUUCUAAUCAAAAUAGUGGUAGAAAAAGACAAUUUCUGACACAAGUGUUUGUCUCUAAAAAAAAGUAUCCAAAUUUUUUUCCCCUAUUUUAUAAACAUGAGACAAUAACUCAUAAUAUAUAUAUAUAUAUAUAUAUAUAUAUAUAUAUAUAUAUUUCAAAAUAAAUUUUUGCAUACCAAAUACACACAAAUAAUGAUACUUGAUUUACCACUUAAAAAAUUUCAAAGAUGCUUCUGGAAAUGACUUGAGAUUCGCACUCUGGUAAGACCACACACAUUCAUGAGUUCAAUAAUUUUCUCAGGGUAACAUCCUACUUAUUCCAUAAAAAUAAAAAUGUAAUUUAAUAACUACAAUAUUUCCAAAUCAAGCAAAGACACAUGCAAAUACAAUAAGCGUUACGCUUUAAUUUCAAAUGAGAUGAUGUUAGCUAAAAUUAUGAACUGAUGUACAUAUCGCUCCAUAGAAACGAAUAUAAAUUUCAUUCUUAGUAAAGUAAACUUACUUUGUUAACCAAGUCGUUGCAAGCUUUUCAUAAAUUUUUGUCACUAUCCAAAAUCGGGCUAUAAUGACGCCUACCACAAACCGGAGUAGGCAGGCUAAACCCAAACAAAGAUUUUGUAGAAGAUAAACAAUUUAAAUAACAAUAAUAAAGACUAAGAAUAAGCGGAAACAUGAAUAACAUAUAGAAAUGGGUCAUAGUAUAGAACUGUAAAUACGAAACAUAGUGUACGAAAUAGGCCCAAAAGUGACCAAGAAAACAAACGAACAUAAGACCUAAUACCCACACCUAGUGUCGCCGAUACAUGAGGUACUAAGUACAGAAAGGCUAUAUAUACGAAAGAACUGACUAACAAAUUACAAAAUACAAGUCAUUAAAAAGGAGAGAAGACAUCAAGUCUGGAAAAGAUCUUUGAAUUUCAGUGCUUACAAUGAGCAAAUAAUGUGACAACCAAGGGAGAUCCAACACUCACUAAGGGUGGAUAAUACUAAGAGUUGCAUCAGAAAAGAUGUAGAAGUGUAGUAUGAGUACUAAAACACGCCAAGAGCUAACCAUGAUCUCGCUAUGUUAUAGCCGAGGGAGACCCAACGCUCACUGAGGGUAACUCAUACUGAGAGCUACAUUAGAAAAAAAUGCAGAAGUAUAGUAUGAGUACUAAAGCACAAGAUACUCAUCAAGCACCACACACAGACUGAGAUCAGAAAGAUCAAGUAUAUAAAGAGAAUUAAUGAUGAUACUCGAAUUUCAAGGAUAGGUUCUAAGAUACGAUUAAACUAAUACAGAGACAAGAAAAAAUACUAAUAACUCAAGUCCAAGGUACACACAAAUACAAGACAACCACAAGAACACUCAAUAGUUAAAUCACUCAAUAAUGCCAAUGAUGACUGAAGGAGCUAAGAUGUAUGAUACCUAAGACUUAUCAAUAAUAUACUAGUAACCCAUAUAUAACUCAAUGGACUGCCAGGAAUACUACCUUGGACUUAUUAACAAGUAUAGAUAUUAGAAUGUAGGCCAAAACUAAGUCAAUGAGCCACCUAGAAGGAUACCUCAAACAUAUUAGUAUAAAAGUAGACGAAAAGUACAUACAAUCAUAAAAACAAAUGUUUUCCUUCCAUUUAAAUCAUAAAGUCUCAAGAUCUUCCAAAUUAUUCGUAUAACCCCCUUUUGACCAUUUCAAAGGCUAUAUAAAAGAUAAGCGACCAAAUUCAACUACCUUGCUCUAAUAUCAUCACGAAUCUCAAAUCUCAACAUCAAAACCACAACACGAAAAACACACAUUUAGCUAUAUCCCAUCACAACACAGUGUACUAACACGAAACUUUAGUUAGUCGAAAGUUCACAACCUUGGGUUCAACAAUCAAUAUGAACAUAGUUUAUAAGCACCACAAUAGCAACAAAAAAAUUUAAACCAAGAAAAGAAAACGUGUUAAAAUAAAUUUCACACACACUAGAAGGAUACCAUCACUAAGGAUCAACAUAAACUUAGACCUUCCGGCUAAAACUACACUAAGUAAUCCAAAAAUGGUCAUGAAUUGUCUAAGGAACAAGUAAGCCUAAGCUAACCCUAAAUUCCAAUCUAACAUUCUGUACUACUAAAAAUAUAAUCAAUCUAAAUGAGACAAGUCUAAGGAAAGGGAAAUCAUAACCUACCUCAAGACCAAAGUUGAACCUCUAAUUCAGUGUUUUUCCCUUCUGAAGGACCUUUGAAUGGUUCCAAGCUAUCAACAAUGCAAUGGGAACACAAAAACAACCACAAUAAUACUCAUAAUAAGAAUAUGAAAACAGAAAUAUAACCCCAUUUACACAAUCUGGGAACUAUAUACGAAGUCAUAAAAUUGACUCUAUCAUGAGUUCUCAAAUUGUCCAAGGAAGUUGUGCCCCAAAAUGGCCAUAAUCCAAGCCACCAUUGAGAAAAUACCGCCUUUCCAAUAUUAAGAUCAAUAAGGAUCAAAUAUGGAGAAUUAAAGAGGAAAUUAAUAGAAUUACCAAGGUCAGUGGAAGAUUCAAUGACCCCAAAAUGUGCUCAUGCAAUUUCCCGAUGCAACUCACCAAUAAUCACUCUACUCCACCAAGUAAAGCUCUAAAAAUUGCCAAAAUAUCAAUUCUUUAUUUAAAGAAUGCAUGUUGAAAAUGAAUUUUUAAAAAUUAUAAAUGCCAAUUGAUUACCCCUUCGUAAAUACCGUGAUCAUCCAUGUUAACACUUUUCGAAUGCAACUAGAGGUCGGAACACUAAGGCUAGGAACAACAACCCUCUGUGAUCGUCGAACGACUCACACAAAUAGAAAUUUCUCAGCAGGUCAAUGUCACGAUCCAAAGUAAUACCCUACGCGUAACAUGACUUAUAGAACCCCGAGAGAUACUACACAAGCCACUUACAUACAUCAUAUAAGAUAAUAGAAAUAAAUAUUUUAUGAAAUAAUCUUAUAGCAUAAGUCUCAACAAAAUAUUUAUUACAUCAAAAGAAGUGAUUGGAGGUAACCCAUAAAUCACAUACAAUGUCUGAAAACUAAAACAAAAAAAGCGAUAAAAGUGUCUUGGUCCUCAAAACAUGAGGACUCACCAAUCCUUGAGUGACAAAAGAUUAACUAGCAACGAGUGUGAGAGGUAGGAGCGUCAGACCCUACAUUAGUGAAAUAAUGUAGACACAAGUAUGCAUUAGUACAUAUAAUAUACUAAGUACGAUAACAACACAUAAGAGUUAUGAAAUCAUCCCAAAAAUCACGUUACAUGACAUGUAAUGACCAAGCUAAAUCAUAAGAUCAAGGGUUACAAAAUAUAAGUCAUAAUCACGGUCAAUUCUAGCUUAACUACUGCGAAAACAUUUAUGAUAUACUAGAAGUAAUAUUAGUUCAUUAAUCAUUACUAUGGGAAGUCUACUAUGUAAUCGACAUAGAAAAUGUGAUCCAUAUCAUGGAAUCCAGUGUCUAUCCAUAUCGAAAAGAGAUGUCAUUACUUUCCAAGGUAAGAACCAUCAGUCUGAGCUAAAGUGGAUCCACAAGCUAGUGUAUAUUUGAGACCAAUCCUAUUGUGGCACAUAGUUUAUGGGCAAUGGGUAAUCGUCGCAAGUCCACUCAAUGCUAAGUAAAAUUCAACAAAAAGUCAUUAAUCACAAACAGAUUAUUAUCGAUAGAAAAAGGUACCAUUUACGAAAUCAUUCCAACCUAGAGUUCAUUUAGAAUAGCUCCUUAGCUUGAUUUAACUUAGGUGAGAAAACCUUUCACAAACAACAUUGCCACUUUACUCUCAAUCAUCCUCAAAUCAUUUACAUCAACUUUAUAAAAAUAUAUGUAUCAUCUUCAUAAUUACAUCUUUCCAGUUCAUCAGUUUCAUCAUGUGUCCAUUGACAAAAAUCAUGUAUCAUGCGUAGGUUAAUAUGAAUUAAACUAAAAAAUAUUUAAUUACUUCAAUUCAUGCGUAAACAGAUAGAAAACAAUCAAUUGAAUCACCAUUGGAAAAGACAAUGAAGAUUGAAUAAAACCCUAACUUUGAAUUGAUAAUUUAGCUUGUAAAAUUGGAGAUUUUAGAAACCCUAAGGAGGAAAGGACUCCAUAGGUGAAUACUAACACACCUUAGAUAUAAAUUCCCAAAAGAUAUGGUAAAAUUGAGACCUUGGUAAUUGGUACCUAACUUCAUCUUCCUUAGUCUGUGGGAAAAUUUGGGGAAGAAUUUGGAGGGAAAUUUUGAAAUUAAGUGAAUGAUUUAGAAUGUGUAGUUUUAAGACUUAAUUCACUUGUAUAGGUCUUGAAAUAGGGUUUGAAACGACUUAGUUUAGGUAGAAAACACUUAUAGAAACAAAUAAAAUGACCCUAGCUUAAUAACCGAUAGAAUCACCUAAAAAGAAAGUUUGGAUGGUCCGUACACGACCUCACUGGUCGUCUAGGGAAUGGUCAUAGAGACCCCCCCCCCCUUCCUAGAAACCUAUAAAUGGUUGGGUUUGGUCUCAUAAAUGGGUCUUCCACCUAUAUACUGGACGUUUAUGGAAUCGUCCAAGUGCCUUGGGUCCUAACAGCCCUAAACGACUAGCCCACUUGCCUUAAGUGGAUAUUGGUGUUAGGAUCGAAUUCACGCACACACACUAGAUGAAUGGAAAAUACAAGAACUUUCAAGAGAAAGAGAUGAGAGAUCUAGAGAGAGAAAGAGAAAACCCAAUAUUUCGUGGUAACACCCCGUGAGUAAACUUUCACGGCGGUGAGGUAUAUUUAUAUUUAUAAAUCAGAGUAUUUUUGGUUACAGAGAAUAAAUAGGAAAACCUAAAAUAGAGAAUAAAUAGGAAAGCCUAAAAUAGAGAAUAAAUAGGAAAACCUAAAAUUAAUCAGGCUCCACUACCUAACAAUUCUCCCACUUGGAGACUGACUCAGUCAUCCAAAAAAUACAUUCUCAAAAAAAUAUCUUCAUCAUCAACAUCUUUACCGCACCGCAACAUCUGUAGCAACAACUACAGAAGACUAACCGAAGUUUUACAUAACCUUAGUUUCCCAACAUCAACACAUUUCGUCAACAUGUCUGCUGGGUUUCUUUCACCUUCUAUCUUCUCCAAGCACAUAUCACCAUCCUCCACUGCCCUGCGAGUGAAAUGGUAUCGCCUUCUGAUGUGCUUUGUCUUCGAAUGAUAGACUGGAUUUUUCACCAACUGUAUGGCACUUUGGCUAUCUGAGUAAAGAAUCUUCUCGCUCUGCUUCUUGCCCAAUUCCUCAAGAUAAUCUACCAGCCAUAUCAUCUCUUUCCCAGCUUCAGCUAUUGCCACAUACUCAGCUUUAGUAGAUGAAAGAGAAACACACUUCUGAAGCCUGGACAUCCAACUCACUGUUGUUCCACCUAUGGUGUAAAUGUACCCGGAUGUACUCUUGAUCGAGUCAACAUCCCCACCAUGAUUAGCAUCCACAAAACCCUGUAGAGUUACCUUGCCUUUGCCAAAACAAAGUGAAGUACUGGAUGUACCUCUCAGAUAUCUCAGAAGCCACUUCACAGCUUCCCAAUGCUCUUUCCCAGGGUUCGCCAUGUACCUGCUAACUACUCCCACUACAUGUGCUAUAUCAGGUCUAGUGCAGACCAUAGCAUACAUCAAAAUACCAACUGCUGAAGCAUAUGGAACAAGUGCCAUGUGAUCACGCUCCUCGGCAUUCUUGGGUGACUGCUCCUUUGACAAUUUAAAGUGAUUUGCCAAUGGAGUAGUCCUUGGUUUAACAUCAUUAACGCUGAAUCUGCUCAGCACCUUCUCAAUGUACAACUCCUGAGAUAGAUUUAAAGUGCCAGCAGAUCUAUCCCGAGAAAUCUUCAUCCCCAAAAUCUGCUUUGCUGGACCCAAAUCUUUCAUCUCAAACGCUGUAGACAACCUUGUCUUCAGAUUGUUAAUCUCCCUCAUACUAGAUCCUGCAAUCAACAUAUCAUCCACAUACAAGAGUAGAAAGACAUAUGAAUCAGUGUAUUUCUUGAAGUAACAACAAGGAUCCUUUUCAGCUUUGCAGAAUCCACUCUUGGUCAUGAAGGAGUCAAACUUCUUGUACCACUGCCUUGAGCUUUCUUUAGUCCAUACAAGCUCCUAGUGAGCUUGCACACCAUGUGUUUCUUGCCUGGAACCACAAAUCCUUCCAGUUGCUGCAUAUAGAUCUCUUUGUCCAGAUCUCCAUGUAAAAACGCUGUUUUUUACAUCCAUUUGUUCUAGAUGCAAAUUUUCCGAUGCAACAAUACUCAACAGAAUUCGAAUAGAGGUUAACUUCACAACAGGAGAGAAUAUUCCAGCAUAAUCAAUACCUUUCCUUUGUGAAUAUCCUUUAACCACUAAACGAGCCUUGAACCUUCUUUUGCCAUCUGGUUCAGUCUUGAUUCUGAACACCCACUUGUUCAGCAAAGCUCUCUUCCCUUGAGGUAACUCAGUCAACACCCAUGUAUCAUUCUUCUCAAGUGACCUCAUCUCAUCAUCCAUGGCUUGCUCCCACUUGAUCGAAUCCUCCACCUGUAGGGCCUUAUCAAAAGACUCUGGUUCCCCCUCAUCAGUCAGCAAUAGAUAGUGUAAUGAAGGUAAAUACAUAUCUGGUGCCCUGAUGGAUCUAGAUGAUCUCCUUAACACCUGCUUAGCUGUAACUUGCUCCACUUCAGAUUCUUCAGUAGGAGUUGGUUGAGUAUCAGCUUCGACACCUCUGGGGUUACUCUUCUCCAACUCAACCUCAACUCCCACUUGCUUUGUAAUCUCUAGAACCUUCUGCUCUCUGUCCUUGUACAGGACAGACUCAUCAAAUGUUACGUCACAAUGUCUCAAGAUCUUUUUGUUCUUGUCAUCCCAAAACCUAUAACUAAACAAAUCAGAACCAUAUCCUAUGAAGUAACACUUCAAAGCCUUGGCAUCAAGCUUGUCUCUCUUUUUUGGAUCAACAUCAACAUAAGGAGUGCAACCAAAAGUCCUCAAGUGUGAGUACUUGAGUUCUUUUCCUGUCCACACCUCCUCUGGAAUCUUGAACCCUAAAGGAACUGAUGGUCCCCUGUUGAUCAAGUAUGCAGUUGUGCUCACAGCAUCUGCCCAAAGUGUUUUGGGCAGCCCACAGUGUAUCCUCAUACUCCUUGCACGCUCAUUCAAUGUUCUGUUCAUCCUCUCAGCAAUUCCAUUCUGCCUUGCCUUACCAGGAACUGUCCUCAUCAAUCUGAUUCCCUCAGCUGCACAGAAUGCCUUGAACUCUGAUUUGUCAUACUCUCCUGCAUUGUCAGACCUUAGGCAUUUGACUUUCAAACCGGUCUGAUUCUCAACUUCAGCUUUCCACUUCUUGAAAGUUGCAAACACAUCUGACUUAUGCUUCAAGAAGUAAACCCAUACCUUCCUGCUUAAAUCAUCAAUGAACUUAACAUAGAAUCUGGAUCCUCCAAGUGAUAUUACUGGGGAUGGUACCCAAACAUCUGUAUGGACCAUUUUCAACCGCACUUUCUUUGGCUCUCUAGGAGUCUUUGUGAAGCUUACUCUUUUCUGUUUGCCCAUAACACAGCUCUCACAAAGACCCAUAUCAACAGACUUCAGACCCUCUAAUGCUCCUUUUGCAACCAGCAUCUUCAUUCCUUUAGUACUCAUGUGUCCAAGUCUGUUGUGUCACAGACAUGAACCAGAAGCACCUUCAGCAACAACGACCAUGUUUAUACACCCUGCAGUGGUGUACAAGGUUCCAGAAUUGGUGCCACGAGCUACUACCAUAGCACCUUUCACGAUCUUCCACGAACCUUUCCCAAACUCUGUUGCAUAUCCCGUGCUAUCAAACUGACCAAUAGAGAUAAGAUUUUUCUUGAUUCCAGGAAUAUAUCUGACAUCCUCCAUUUUCCACUGGUUUCCCGAGGUGAUCUUUAUGCAAACAUCCCCCUUUCCUUCAAUCUCUAAGGCUUUAUUGUCAGCAAGAUAUACUUUUCCAAAAUUUCCAGAUUUGAAGUUUUGGAACAACUCUUUGCUUGGAGACGAAUGGAAAAAUGCACUAGAAUCCAAAAUCCAUGAUUCAACUGGGCUGUUCACACUAAGGAUUAGAGCAUCCCCAAUGUCCUAUGCUGAAUUUACAGAAUAAUUGUCAUCUCCAAAUUUCUGAUUAUGUUUCUUCUUUGGCUUUGUAUAGUUCGUCCGAAAGUGCCCUUUUUUUCCAUAGUUCCAACAAGUCAUGUUUGAUCUGUUCAGUGAUUUUCCUCGAUUCUUUAAUUUUGAUCGACCAUGUUGAUUUUGGCCUUUCGUCUUACUUCUCCCCCUUCGAUCAACGCUGAGAGCACUGCCCGAUGAAUCUCCCACUUCUCGUUUGCGAAUACUUUCGCUAAGAACAACAUCACGGAUUUCAUCAAACUUCAGUUUCUCAGAUCCACGGGAACUGCUAAUCGCAGCAACAACAGUAUCCCAAGACUCGGGCAGAGAUGAAAUCAAAAUCAACGCCUUAAUUUCAUCUUCGAAAUUAAUAUCCACAGAAUUGAGUUGACUCACAAUCAUAUUGAACUCGUUUAUAUGAUCAGAAACGGAUCCAGUUUCAGACAUCUGUAAAUUGAACAAAAUCUAUGCAUCAAAUAUACCUUGUUCAUAGCCGAUGGUUUUUCAUACAUGUUUGACAGUGCCUUCAAUAGACCGGACGUAGUCUUCUCCUUCACGAUGUUGAACGCCACAUUUCUUGACAAUGUCAACCGGAUCAACCCUAGAGCCUGGCGAUCCUUGAGUUUCCACUUCUCCUCCGUCAUGGAUUCCGGCUUCACCCCGGUCAACGGUUCGUGAAGAUCUUUCUGGUACAGAUAAUCUUCGAUCUGCAUCUUCCAGAAACUGAAAUCGGAUCCAUCAAACUUCUCGAUUCCAAGUUUCGAACUAUCCAUCUUCUGUGAUCGUGUUGAAUCUCCUUAGCUCUGAUACUAGUUUUUAGAAUCGAAUUCACGCACACACACUAGAUGAAUGGAAAACACAAGAACUUUCAAGAGAAAGAGAUGAGAGAUCUAGAGAGAGAAAGAGAAAACCCAAUAUUUCGUGGUAACACCCCGUGAGUAAACUUUCACGGCGGUGAGGUAUAUUUAUAUUAAUAAAUCAGAGUAUUUUUGGUUACAGAGAAUAAAUAGGAAAACCUAAAAUAGAGAAUAAAUAGGAAAACCUAAAAUUAAUCAGGCUCCACUACCUAACAAUUGGUGUCCUAAACAUGCCGUUUAGGGUCUCGUGAAGGGUUUUCGACUUAUUUUAGGUUUGUGGACUUGCUCGUUAGCUCACUUUAACCUUUGCAAAACCCGAUGUGUUACAGUCACCCUCUAUGAAUGCAAGGUUUCCUGCACGAAUGCGAAGGCCAUGCAAGUUUCUCUCCGUGAAUGUGGCCAAGGAAUCGUGAACGUGAAGAAGAGAAUAGUGUUGUGUGAACACCUAAUUUUUUACCAAAAUAUAAAAAGUCAAACACCAAUUUUUUUUUAAAAAGGUUAUAUUUAAAAUAAAUAAAAAAUCAAUAAAUUGUGUAAAUUACUUUAAUAAUAAAAAAUUAUAAAUAUAUGGUAUUUGUUUUAAAUCUUCAACUUUUAAUUAGUUUAAAAAUAAUGGUAGAAGAAGAAAAAAGGGGAGUCCUAAAUAUUCAAAUUAUCUUCCCCUUAUCCUAAUUAUUCCCAACUUCCUAACUUAUUUUACUAAAAAAUCUCAUCCCAUUUAUUUUUUAUUUUUAUUUUUUUCUUUCUUCUCUCUCUCUCUCUGGACGUUAUUUCACAUUUUUUUUAAUUUUCUAUUAUUAUUAUUUAUUCAUUUUAUAUCCAUCCUUAUCUCAACCCAAUUCCCUCAACAAUAUUUCAAAUUAAAUCCUAAUCCAACUCUACUACGUUCCUUUUAAUUAGCACCAAACUCUCAGCCAAAAUUAUUAUAAAAAAACACGUUCAGUUGAAAAAAAGAGAACACACAGAUAUAGAGAAAUACAAAGAGGAAAAGAGAGAAAUACAGAGAGAAAUAUAUAGAGGAAGAAAAGUGAGUCAUUCUUUUGAGAGUUAGGCCAGAGUUAGAGUUUUUUUUUGUCGUGGUUCCAAAUUCGUGGCUCAAAUCAAUAGAUCAUAGAAGUUAUUUUUCGUGAUAGCCAUCUUCGCGGCGAGGUAAUUCUUAACUCUCGCAUUAUUUAAAUGUUAUGUUGUAUGAAUAUUUGAAUCUAUAAUAUGAAGUUCUUUGAAUCUUAUGUUAUUAUUAUGCAAUGUCAAUAUGUGAUGCAUGUUAAGAUUUUUUUAUUUUUUUCUCGAUCUGAAAAACGAAAAAAAAAUGUUUCUUGCUAACAAAAAUAAUAUAAAAUAAAAGAUGUAUCAUACAUUUUUUUUAAAAAUAUUUAUAAAAAUAAAAGAUGUAUCAUACAUUUUUUUUAAAGAUGAAAGGAGAAUGAAAAUAAAAAUAAAAUAUAAAACUAAUAAAAUAAAAAGUAAGAAACAAAAAAAAACGUUAAAAAAAAGAAGUAACAAAAAAAAUUAUUUUUUUUAAAAAAGAGAAAAAGACAAAAUCUAAAAAAAAAAGAAAAAAAGAAAAAGGAGAGAAACAGAUUUUACAAGAAAUAAAAUAAAAUAAAAUAAAAAAGAAAAUUUAAAAAUAAAACAAAAACGUAUGAAAAAAAAGAGAGACAAUUUUGUUUCAUUAAAAAAAAGAUAUUGCUAAUUUAUUUAGGAUUUCUUGAUAAAACUAACUUCAAAUCUUAUAAAUUUUUUUUUUAUUUUAAAUCUAAAAUAAAUAAAUAAAUAUAUAAUCCUAAAUUAACUUGAACUCUAAAUAUCUCCUUCCUACACAAACUCUAAUUCUUAGAAAUUAGAUAUCUAUAUAUAUUCUACCUAUAAUAACAGUAAAAAUUAAAAACAUACAAAUAUCAACAAAAAAUAAUAUAUAUAUAUAUAUAUAUAUAUAUAUAUAUAUAUAUAUAUAUAUAUAUAUAUAUAUAUAUAUAUAUAUAUAUAUACGGAUGUUCAAUUUUAAAAUUACACAAAAAAUAAAAAAAAUAAAGACCCUUUAAGAUAAAUAAGCCAGUUUCAAAUAAGUUUUAGAAUAAAUCUGAGGAUAAAUAACAAUUUUGUUAUUAAGUUUAAAUAAUACAAUGUCCAAAAAUUAAGUUAAGUCAUACUAAAGUUAAUAAAGCGAUCGUGCCAGAACCACGAGAAUUGAGGGGUGCCUAACACCUUCCCCUCAGUCAACAGAAUUCUUUACCCGAAUUUCUAGUUCGCAGACCAAUAAAAAAUAGAGUCAAAUUUCCUUUUGAUUAGGGAUUUAAAAAAAGGUGACUUGGAACACCAAAACUCAAUUCUAAGUGGCGACUCUAAAUAAUAAUUAUCCCUUUUCAAAACGUUACUUUAAUUGGAAAAACUCUUUUUCUUUCAAAAAAACAAAAAUAAAAAAUAAUUGAAAAAAAGGGGUGUGACAUGUUGCAUCAGCAACACUGCACCAAUUGUUUCCCAAGAGUAAGAAUUCCCUCGAUGGGAGCUCGGAAUUUAUCCGGAGCCAUGUGGACAAAACCAAACUAUGUUACCAAAUUAGAAAUGUCAAUCAACACCCAUUGGAGUCAACAAAAAAAAUGAUGAAAGUCGUCUGGUCAAAAUAAGUCAACACGUAAAAAGAAAUACCAGAUAAAAUGACAAAAGUCACAAACUCAUUCCGACCACCUUGGAAUCUAAAUCAGAAGUCCUAGACCAAAAUUGGUAUUUCAGAGCGAACUGUGCUGACAAAAUUUUCAUCGGAGUUCUUUUACCAACAAUAUUAACCAAAAUCAAACUUUGAUCAAAACUUCAAAGCUAAAACACCUAAUGACACAAACUCAAAAUGACAGCCUCCAAACCCAAACCAAUCAUCCCACUAAACCAAAAUGACCCUUCCAAUGAUGAUAGAAUUGAAGGAAUCCUCAUAUGACAUAUGAAUCUUCAUAUGUUGGCUAAAGUCAACUCUUUCACUUCGUCAGCCUCCAAUAGGGAAAAACCAACUCGAAACUCUCCCGGCUACCUCAGUAAAUGUUCUCAUCAAUCCAUCACCACUGAGAAAAAGUUAUUGGAAAGGAACAAAAUAAUAAAAGCAUGCAAAAAAUACAGAAAUGACCUGAAAUAGCAUUACAGUUUCACAUAAAGAUCCACACUUCACUUUAUGUAAUUUAUUUGCCUGACAACCUUAUUAUAGAGUCAUUUUUACUUUCACACCCACUAAAUCUUUUUCUAUUUUUUGUUGUGCUCUUUCUCCUCUACUUGCAUUUUCCAUUCGAUAUAAUAUCAUUUUAUAGCCUCGUAUCAUUAUUACAAAAAAUAAUUUUUAGUGGUAAUUAAUUAUUAAUUAUGGUUAAAUAUAUAUUUUUAACGGUAAUUAAUAUUCUUUGUAUAUGUGCCUAAAGUCUUUAGCAAAAUUGAAUCAAAUGACUACUAUAAUAAAUACUUUAGCAUUCUUUAUUAAUAUGUUUAUUUAUUACGCCUUAAAGUAGCUUUUGUUGUAGUGUAAAUAUUUUUGUUUUGUUCAUCAAUAUUAGCAUACUAUUUUUCACUCCAAAUAAAUUUACAUUACCUCCAACAAUUUUAAUUUUGCCAACAUCAUCAACAUUCAUCUGAUCUUCUUCUUUUGCUCCAUUUCUUGCUUUCUUUCUUUGUAUGUUUCCUCUCAAUACAAGUUGUUAAACACAUAUUACAAUUUCCUAGGUAAGUGGGUUUGGAAUAAAAAGGCAAGCUCCCUCUUCCAAAGCUUUCUUUAGUGAUAGUCCGUUUUCUUCGUCACAUACAAUUGCAUAAUAAUUUCAAGAACAUAGAAAUUAGAAUUGAAUUAUAUUAUACACUAUGUGAUAGUUAGUGACACAAAUAAUCACUAAAUUUUUCAUUAUAAAGGUAAUUUUACAAAAUAAUCAUAUAUAAUAUAUUUAAUAAAAUAGAAAUUAGUGAUAAAUAAUUUAUUAUCACCAAACAAAAAAAAUAGUGCCACUUACAUUAACGACGUAUCGUAUCCAAACAAUUUAACAUAUUAAUAUCAAAUUUUACAGUUGAUUUUCUUAAUCAUAUAUUAAUAAAAGUAACCGACUUUGCUCGUGAUAGAUGUCAUAAGUGAAAGAAUCAGAACAAUAUACUCAAGGCCCUUGAGUCAAGAGUUUAGAAGAAUCCAAAUCCGCUGAAUGGACACUGAUGAUUAUCGCAUCAAUUUUUUUAUUUUCUUUGGAGAACAUUGACAUUGCUUCUGAAUACGUAUCGACCGUGAUAAUUGCAUCAAUAUACCUUAAAAGUUAGUGAAAAAAAUAUGCACAAAAUUAUCUCGAUAAUUUUUAAUUUCUCAUAUAUAAUUCAAUUGUAAUUUUCUAGUUAUAUUGUUAUUUUUUAGUUUACGCAAUUGCACGUAUGAAUAAAUUAUAUUGUUAUCAAUGUGAGGAAUCAUAGACAAGUUUACCUAUAAAGCUAUUAAGGAUAAGUAAUUGAAUAUAUAUGUGUCAAUUGGAGAAGUAAAAUAAUGUUACGUUAAGAAGUGUUAUCAUCAUGAUAUUUUAUGUUUGUAAGUUAUUUUAUAGCAUGACCGUACUUUUUAGUAUGUUAAAAAUUGUCUAUUGUCUUAACAAAUUAAAAUAGAGAAAGAAAUUGAAUGAUUAUUAUAAUGGAACAAAAAUAAAAACAGUAUUUGAGCGUAGUAAUUCCGACAUGUUUUUUUGUACAAGGUAGAUUAUUGGUCGAUAAAAAUUAACACCAAACUAAUUAAGGAUAUUGAGAACAAUGCUACAUUGAAAAAAAAUUUAGUGGAUCAGUUGUAUUACAUAAGCUAAUUUCCAAAACACAUGAAAAUUAAAGAAUAAAAAAGAAAGCGAGACGAAGAAGAAAAAUAUGGAGCUUAACCCGCUAAUUAUAUCACCUUAUCGUACUAUAUUAAGCAUUUCUUUCUACUUUUACCCUGCUCCAUUGAACAUUCUUAAAAUUUCUUUUACUUUUUUAUACUUUUAUUUUGUAAUGUUUUACUUUAUUUUGCUUUUUUUUAAAAAAUAGUAUCCAAUCAAACACAUAUUACUAGAAAAAUUAUCAAGAUUCUCUAAAAGUGUGCAAAUAUAUAUUUACUAAUAUUAUAAUGCAUAUUCAGAAGAUAAAUAAAUGACAUCUUCAAAAUUUUUAGUUCACGUAGUUUAAUAUACUAGGUUAGUCAUCACUUGUUGAAAAAAAUGAAGAAUCAUCAAAUAAGUUUAGUUUCCACCUCUCUAAAAUAAAACUGAAAAAAUAGAAAAGAAAUUCCAUGAAUUCUGUUAAUUAUAUACUAUGAAAAGGAUAUUGACGAUUUUUAAUUUCUUCACUCAACUACAUCUAAUUUAUCUUUAUAUAUAUAAUUCUGUUAUUAAACUAUAUGAAAUUAGAAGACGAAUAAAAUAGGGAGAAGAGAAAAAUUUCUUAUUCAUAAGUAUAUUAAGGAUUCAUUGAUCUUUCACAAGUUUUAUUUACAAUGAAGGAAAACCCUUUAUUUAUAGGGGAAACCUUACUUGGUCCCCAUGUAGGAUUCCUAACCAUGUCGUACAACGACUCCACAGAAUUAGACAUUCACUAUAAUACAAAUUGUUCAUAACACUCCCCCUUGAAUGUCCAUAAAUUAUGUGCCUCGUUAAAAGCUGAAAGCCACUUGACUGUAAGGAGAGGACUUCCAGGGCUCGAUCUACGGCUGCGUCUUACUAGAUAAAACUCAGUAGGAAAAAAUCUAGUGAAGGAAAAAAAGUACACAUAUCUAAUAAUACGCAUUAUGGAUACCUCAUUAAAAACCUUACAAGGAAAAUCCAGUGGAACAAAACCUUGUGAGGAAAAAAGAGUACAUCGCGUAUUAACUCCCUUUAAUGACAACAUUAAUUCAGAGACUAGAAUCUUUGUUUUCCAAGCUUGUGCAGCAUCUUCUUGAAAGUUGUAGUUGGUAGAGAUUUAGUGAAUAAAUCAACAAUAAUAUUACUUGAACAGACCUCUUACAUGUUGAUAUCCCCAUUCUUGAGAGCUUAUGAGUGUAGAAAAACCUUGACGAAAUAUGCUUUCUUCUAUAUGCUUUUAUAAAUCUUCCCUUGAGGGUCAAAGAUUUCUGCAAGAUCCUUACUUCAACUUUUUUAAGCAAAUAAUCUAUUGCCAAGAUUUUCAAUUCUAAUCAUCAACUUGCAUAAUAAUACUUGUAUAUGCUCUAUGCAUUUUGAAUCUAUUUAAUCCUUAUGAGGAUGAUAAAUAAGUUUUUAAAAAACUUGUAUAUGCUUUAGAUUUUGGACCCAUUGGAUAUUUUCAUAUCAAUUUUGUCAAGUAACAACAUUUAAUAUUAGAUGUAUGACAUUUUCUAGUGCCUAGAAUGCAAGUAAAAUAAGCUUUACGGACUUCUUCACAUCCACCGUGCAAUGCAUGCGGUUAUUGAUAGACAGAAGAAUCAUGGUAUCCACUUCCGGGUAUUAGCAAAAGCGUUACGUAUGUCUGGUGGAGAUCAUAUUCACUCUGGUACCGUAGUAGGUAAACUUGAAGGUGAAAGAGACAUAACUUUGGGCUUUGUUGAUUUACUGCGUGAUGAUUUUGUUGAACAAGAUAGAAGUCGCGGUAUUUAUUUCACUCAAGAUUGGGUCUCUUUACCAGGUGUUCUACCUGUGGCUUCAGGAGGUUA